UGGGGAAUUUUGGACAAUGGGCGAAAGCCUGAUCCAGCAAUGCCGCGUGUGUGAAGAAGGCCUUCGGGUUGUAAAGCGCUUUUGUCCGGAAAGAAAUCCUUGGCUCUAAUACAGUCGGGGGAUGACGGUACCGGAAGAAUAAGCACCGGCUAACUACGUGCCAGCAGCCGCGGUAAUACGUAGGGUGCAAGCGUUAAUCGGAAUUACUGGGCGUAAAGCGUGCGCAGGCGGUUUGCUAAGACCGAUGUGAAAUCCCCGGGCUCAACCUGGGAACUGCAUUGGUGACUGGCAGGCUAGAGUAUGGCAGAGGGGGGUUAGAAUUCCACGUGUAGCAGUGAAAUGCGUAGAGAUGUGGAGGAAUACCGAUGGCGAAGGCAGCCCCCUGGGCCAAUACUGACGCUCAUGCACGAAAGCGUGGGGAGCAAACAGGAUUAGAUACCCUGGUAGUCCACGCCCUAAACGAUGUCAACUAGUUGUUGGGGAUUCAUUCCUUAGUAACGUAGCUAACGCGUGAAGUUGACCGCCUGGGGAGUACGGUCGCAAGAUUAAAACUCAAUGAAUUGACGGGGUCAUAGCUGUUUCCU
rnacentral:rRNA from 1 species